AACGAACGCUGGCGGCACGCCUAACACAUGCAAGUCGAGCGCUCACUUCGGUGGGAGCGGCGGACGGGUUAGUAACGCGUGGGAACAUACCCUUCACUAAGGAAUAGCCACUGGAAACGGUGAGUAAUACCUUAUACGCCCUUCGGGGGAAAGAUUUAUCGGUGAAGGAUUGGCCCGCGUUAGAUUAGAUAGUUGGUGGGGUAAUGGCCUACCAAGUCUACGAUCUAUAGCUGGUUUGAGAGGAUGAUCAGCAACACUGGGACUGAGACACGGCCCAG
rnacentral:rRNA from 1 species